CUUGUUUUUGAUAAUAUAAAGUUAUACUGUAAGUUUGGCAUUAUACAAUAUUUGUUAAGAUAAAAAUAGAAAGAAAAAUUCGAUUAAAAUUGAAUUACAUUAAACUACUACAUAGAGUGAUUAACUAAAACGUGACCGAAAGUACAGCUAGCUACUAGCUAGCUGAGCAAGCAGGAGGGAGAAAAGGGAGAAUACGAAGAAGGGUAGAGAAGAGAAGCGACUAAAUUUAGUCGGCCACACUGAAAAUAAGAUACGUUUUCCGGAACGUCGUCAUCCGAGACUCGAUCGUGAAACAAAUCAUGCUUUUCAUCGGAUGAUCUCGUCUCAACGUGUUUUAUACGAUAUUUAUUAAAGGAAAAAAGAAGAGCGAGAGAGAAAUAGAGAAAGAGAAUCGAUUCUUUACUUACCAGCGAUUUGUUCUGGAGGCAAUUCGUCGGCCUGUAAAAUAAAAAUAAAAACAUAUCGAACGAUCAGAAAUGAAAUUAAUUUGUGAUCAUCGUCGUCGUCUCGCCACGAAAUGCAACAAAAUAAUGCGAGGUGCAACAACGAUGUUUUAAUUAGGACGAUGAUUUCGAGUUUGCUUUGAUAUUUCAUUUUCUUUUUUUUUUCUUUCUUUUUUAUUUCUUUUUUUUCUGUUUCUUUUUUUUUGUAUUAUUAUAGCGCAAUAAAAUUAAGAUUUAUUAUGUUCAAUGACAAGAAUUUCUGUUAUGUUGAUUACGUGCAUUGUUACGAAUAUCGCGUAUAUUUCUUUUUAUUUCUUUUUUUAUUUUUUCGUAAAAUUCGUGUAAAAUUCUUAACAUCACUCGUAUACUGCGUGUAAAUUUAAAGUUUUGGCUGACUUCUUCUUUUACAAAUUAUGAUGAUGGAUAAAAUAACACUUUUGAACGAAUAUAUAUAUAUGUGUGUGUGUGUGUGUAUAUUCGCGAGAUAUUAUAGAGAGUGUAUUAUGUACACUUUGUUGCGUCGUGGGAUUAUUCGGACGAUUAAUCAAUGAAAUUGACGAAAAGAUCGUUUGAUUUUCGAUGUCGUUUCUCCGAUCGUUCGGUCCAUUCUUGUUUCUUUUUCUUCAUCCAUUUUUUCUUUUUUUUUAAUAAGACGAAUUUUAUAAAAAUCGAAAUUAUUUUUAAUUAGCACGAUCAAUUGGAGAAACGUCUUCGAAAAAAUUCGCCGUCUAAGAAACAAUCACGUUUCCAGGACCUCGCACCUCCUGAACAUGCUUUUUUCAUUUGUUAUCUUCGAAAAAAAUCCCGCGUUUUUUUUAUAUUUUUUAACGAAAUAUUUUUUUUAUUGCACCAACACUGUUUCGCGCGAAUAUUAUUUUUAUUUUUUACUUUGUUUCAUGAUUUCGUGCACUAGAGAGAAAGAGAGAGAAAGAGAGAGAGAGAGAGAGAGAGAGAGAGAGAGAGAACAAUGGAAAGAAAUAGAAAGUAAAAAAUAUUAAAAAAAAAACCAACACCGAGAUGAAACCAAUUAGAUAAGGAAACACGUACAGUACAGUAAAUUGUUUAAACAAAACAUGCCAAUAGAAAAGAAAAAAAAAUUAGACAAAAAAUAAGAAACGUAAUAAUUAGAUAUACAAAGUAUUUUUGCGUGUAUACGUAAGAAUGAAAAUAUAAAUAAAGAAUAAAGAGAGAGAGAGAGAGAGAGAGAGUAAGAGAGAAAUAAAGAACAAAGAGAAAGAGAGAGGGCGACGACUUACGAUAUCAUCGAUUGAACAUACCAUGAUGGCGACGCGGUUUUUUGCUCUUUUUUAUAUAUCUUAUAUAUAUAUAUAUAUAUAUCUAUAUAUAUAUACGUCUAUAUGUAUAUAUCAGGCUCGAUAUUAUACAAGAUCGACACAAUCUGUGAUAUUGAUCGAACGCUUGGAUUUACGGUCACUCGAUUAUAAUAUGGAACGUUUGAAGAAUUAUAAUGUGCGAUUAAAAAGUCGAUAUUAAUCGAUAUGAAUCGAAAAUUGAUGAGAUUUCUUUUUUUUUUUCUGUACGAACGAUGUUACGAAACAGAUAGAUAGAUAGAUAGAUUAACUCAGAUCGAGAGAUUAAUGGCAAUAAUAAUAGUAAUAGUAAUAAAAAAAAAAAACAAAAAUAAAACAACAAAAACUGUGUAAUCCCAAAAAGUCGAAGUCUGUUUUUUUUUGUUUUCAACUCGAGCCUGGCGGACGAGCUUAAAGCUUUACGAACACUGUCAAGAGAUGCGAGAACUGCCGCGGUAAUAUUCGAAUGAGCCGAUAUAGCGGUUGCGUACCGAUCCCGGACCGCGCCCCGCAACUUCCAGCCAAUCACAAGCUUCUCUCUUUAGUAGCGGGCCUUAGAGAUUUCGGAAGGGCGCUUGCGCUAUUUCGGGGACAUGAUACGACCACUUGGCAUUUUCCUCUUCGUUUCCAGGACUCUCUUCGGUUUCUCUUUUAUUCUUUUUAUUUUAUAUUCUUUUUCUUUUUCAUCGUUCGAAGAUAAUCUCUUUUUUCUUUUUUCUCCUCUUCUUUUCUUUUCGCUUCUUUCAUCUGCGUUUUCAUCGAUUCGAUUUGAUCGUUUUAUUUUGAGAGCCGAAUCGAAAUUCGUUUUUUAAAACGUAUCAACGAACGAAUGGUACGGAUAUGUGAAUGAACGAUUCGAUCUUUCUUUUUCUUUUUUCUUUUUUAUUUUUUAUACACUUGUGAGACGCGUGACCGUGGAUCACUCUGAAAAGUGUUCGUUCUAUCGCAAAUCAUUCGAAUAUUCCGUCGUUACGAAAAUAGAGAAUCAGAAUUCCCUAGUCCACCGUGUAAGCAACAGUAAAAUUUUGAAAAUGUAUAUGGUGCACGAUGCAUUGGGUUCGAAUCGAUAUCGGAUUUUGCAAUUUGGAGGGGAGAUAAAAAACUUUGCCAUGAUAGGAUCUUCGUGGCAAUGUUUUUUAUAGUUUUUAAUGUUUUACGACUUUAUGUUCUAAUUUUAAGAUGUAGAUAAUAUUAUCUUAUGGCAUUGGAUUAAUUCAAGUAGAAGUGUUUAUAAAAAUAGAAUUGUUGUUUUUCGACAUUGCUCAAGUACAUAUUUUGCCUGAUCGAAGAACAAAGCAGGGGCUGUGUUGUUUUCAAACAUAGGAAAGAUUUUCCUUUGCGUUCUUUGCCAGGAAGCUUUCCGAACAUCUUUACAAUGCCAAUGCGGUAGUGAUGUGAAGAAAUUCGUUAGGAUGUUUACCAGACUUUUAAUAGAAUAUUUAAUAGGAUUUUAACUAUCACCGUUGUUAAUACACAUUUAAAUGGUCAAUCGUCACAUUAUUUAUAUCGUUAGUUCGAACGAUUUCGAAUAUUUCUGUUUUAAUUUGAUAUAAUCUCAAUAUUUUCGUCUUGUUUCUCGUUGGAAGUUAACUACUUCUUAAGUUGCUAAAAUGCAAGUAAAUCAGAAAUGUUUACGAAUGCCUCGUUGAUUCUCAACGGUCCAGUGAUUUAUGAAUGUGAUAAACAAUAAAGCAAACAAGUAGCACAACGUAAAUUGUACAUCUAACGAAGUUGGAUCAAUGCGUUUGGAAAACUUCCAAGGUGCAUACUCUUAACGACAUCUUGAGAUGUACGCGAAUCUCAAGAUAUGAUUCAUCGGUAUGGUGAAAACAUUCGAAAUGAAAUGAAAUCGACUACAAUGAGACUAAAAAAUAUUGAACGAUCCUUGUGAUACGUCAAGUCUUGCUUUGAAACUGAUACCUGGCCAAGUGUUUCAAGUUACCAUUUAUCAUUCAACCAUUUUAUAAUAAUCUAUAACCUUUGGAAAGUUUGUGCUAAUAGAUUUUCCCAAAACUGCGCGAGAUGAUUUGACACGACGAUAUAGUCGAGCCAAGUAACAUUGAUUUAUUCCUGUCAGAUUCGAAAGCAAUGGGACUUUACUGGACGGAAAGACAAAAACCUUCUUGAUUUAUAAUCAUUAAUUUGCACUAAUGAAUUAGUCACAUCUUAGACACUAAUUUAAAUUAACAACGUUAUAUUCAUAGAUCUAGACAUAGUCGAGGUCAGUUAUUAAAACAAAUAAAUAUGUUAUUGUAAACAAGUUUCUACAUUGAUUUGUCGGAAGGAGUAGAGUACCGUGCGCGUUAAAUAUUUUUAGUAUUUUUAUCACAAACGGAUAAACAUUGCUCUUACGAUUUUCACGAAAGCAUACGAGUCCAGACUUUAUUUCGUCGGUGGAUAACUUUUUGGCUACUUGCCCAUUUUAAACGCGAGACGUAUAAAACUUCAGACAGGUCUACGUACGUCGAUCCAUAUGUACAUAUAACCGGGUACGAUCUUCUCGUUUUUCUGCGACUCAUAAACUACGUUACUUCGCGCUACAAGGCACUUUGCUUCGUCAUCUUGAAUUAUUUCACGACUAUGAACCAUCUCGGAGGAAUACUCGAAUUUGGCACAUGCGCAGAAACGUUGAGAGUGUAGCGCGUGUGCCGACGUGUCAAACGAAACGUCACUUAGGUUGAACAUGUAGACGGUGCUCUCUACCGGAGUUUAUUGAAACCUAUUGGUCACGUGAUGAAUUAAUGGAGGCAAGUUUCAAUUUCUGUUCUUAGAACACUAAACGAAAACUACACAAUUUUAUUUUAUAUAUUCUUAAAUAUUUAUGGAUUACUGAUUUUAUUAUACUUACUAAACCUUAUUAACUUAUUUAAUUACCAAUUUUAUGUGUAAUUAUUUUUAGGUAAUGUAAAAAUUCUAAAACUUGAAAACAUUGUUUGCUUUAUUGUAUAUUCCUUUCGUCCUCGUAGUAGGUACAUGACAGCAUCUAAAAUGCUCAUUCACAAUCCACUGAAUUUAACGUUCACUUUCACACAGAGACGCUCAUAUCCUUGUAUUUUUUCUAUUUCUGUGUUAUUUUUUUUUUAUCCUACUCGUACAUUCGCUCUUCUUCUCUCAUUCAUAGAUAAAUAAAUUAUAGGCUAAUAUUUACAAUAUCUUAAUAGUUUCUUUCUCUUACUUAAUAGUCCUUUGUCACUUAAUAGAGAUGUAUUUUGUAAAGAAUCUAGAAAUAUUGAGCUUGGUCUGGUUGAUAUACUUAAUAUAUUUGUCAUUUUGCUUUUGAAUCACGUAUAAUGUGUAUAUAUUAUGGAUACACAUAAACG